UUACGGCCAGAUCACGUAGAAACACCAGUUCCCAUACGAUUACCGACGUUAAGCAACAUCUAGCCUGGUUAGUAACUAUAUGGGUGACCGCUUGGGAAUAUCAGGUGCU